GAAAAUAUCUCUUCUCUCUCCCUCCUCCCCUCCAGUUCUCCAUGCCGCCGCCGCCUUCUCCUCUUCCCCGUCCCUCACGGCCGCCUCGCCCCCUCCGCCUUCAGCGCCUCCUCCUCCUCCCCUUCCUCUCCUCCUUCCCUACCUCCGGAUCCAGACCACGUGAUGCAAACGAUGCAGCGCCAUGGAUUAGUCCUGCUGCAGGAGAGAGAAGAUGAGAGGGAGAGAGACAAGGAAGGAGCGGAGGGAGAAAGAGAGAGGAAAGAGUAGCCGGAGGUGCGUCGGCCGGCGUCGGCGUGCACGCUGGCGAGGUUGGGCGGGACCUGGCGGUUGGCGGCGGCUCGAUCCACUCCUAGAUCGGGAGCCGAGCCUGCGCCUCCGCCACUUCCCCUUGUUUCUCUCUCCACCGCCACCUCUCCUCACCUCUCCUUCCAAUGUCGGCCGCCGCCGGCCUCCCCAUACCUCCCCCUCAUGGCUCCUCUCUUCAUCACCGGCGCCAUGGCUGUGCUCGGAGGAGGACCGCCGAUGCCAGGUUGACGAGGAUGAUGAGGUAACUGUUGGCGAGGGCAAAGCGAAGUCGUCAGAUUCGUCACCGCCGCUAUUCUCCUACUCGCCGCCGCCGCUGUUCUCCUACUCGCCGGCGCCGCCGCUGUCAUCCACAUGCUCCUCCUCACGACCACAGGUGGAAGUUGGCUGGGGUCUAGCCUCCCAUCCAUACGCAGCUUUCCAGAUUAUGCAAGUAUAUGCUUGGUCUGCAUAUUAGUACCGGCUAGCAAGCACAGGAACGACGACUUGGACCUGGCGACUUGGAUCUAAUGACUUGGUAUUCCAAUCCACCGAGAAAUCAAUUAAUCGACUCAAAAUGAUGGUAAGGUGUCACCAAAAGUGCUUUGCCAGGUGCAUCGUUUUCGUCCCCUUCUAUUCUUCCCAUGCACCACACCAUACCAACAAAGGCAAAAUUUGUUUGUGUGAAAGCGUCUGAACCAUUGGCAUUAUUUGUUUCUCUGGUGAAUAAAUUGUGUCUGAACGCAGCAUGCCUGAACCCUGAGCAUUAUUUGUUUCUCCGCUGAGCAAAUUGUGUCUGGAUGCAGAAAGUGAAAGCAUUAGAUUGAGUGAUUCAGAUCAAUUCUUGCGUUGUACGCCUGUAAGUUUGGCGGUAAUUCCUAACUAUGACGUUGAUAUGAUCUCCCAUAUGCAUAUUUGACCAGUACUUAUUAUAUACAUAUUUAAAUAGAAAUGUUUAUGCCCUUUAUUAAUAAAAUAUGAUUAAUGGCAAAACCUAAUAAUAUUGUUUCAUCUUAUCGAUACAAUUUGUGUGUAUUGGAGGGGGGUAUAUUAGUAUAGUCAAAUUAGAAAAGCUUGACCACAUACUAAAGUAGGUAGUACACGAGCAACCCUCCCGGAUUAAUGGUGUAGAAAGAAUGAGAUCAUCGAUAACCACUUUCAUUCUGAAUUUGAGUUACCUCUAUUACAACAACACAACGAAGUUGCGUGAUUAAAUGUCAUUCAGGUGAGAGAGCUGGCAGGACGAACAAGGAAUUUUACAAAACGGUGCCCAGCGAGCUGGGCUCUCCUCCACCAAUAUGAAUGCCUAGCCUCAAACUUGCCUUAGUUUUUUUUGGAAUUGCUCUUUUUAUCUGUUGGAUCAUUCUUUUGUUUGUAAGAAAUUUCUGCAUUUUAGUGUAACCUAAAUCUGCUCAUUCCAGUAUUUGUUGAUAUCAGUAGUGGAAUGUUGCCCUCUCUCUCUCUCUCUCUCUCAUUAUUUCAGGUCAUUAGAUUCACGCAUUACAAUUAACUAUUUUUAGCGGUGUCAUGGUUAUAUUGGGAAAAGGUGAAACUUUGCUUUCCUUUGGAAGUUUAGUUACAGCAGGAGCGUGCAUUCUAUAUAUUGAAAAGUUUAAAUACCCACCACUACAAUAUCUUCAUAAGAAUCUUUUUUCUACCGUUAGCACAAAGAAGAUGCUUCUGGCCUACUACAUGAACUCGUUCUUGCCGACUUUAUCCUCUGUUUAUUUGCUCCGCGAGGUAAGAUCUUGCUUGCUCGUCUCUUGUUUGAUAAACUAUCUGUGAGCUGAACCAUUCUGUGUUUCAUGUUUCCUUGCCGUGGAGGUUCUUUGUUGGUUCGUGGGACUUCUGUCGUUAACCAACAAGGCGUUGUUAUCAUUACUUCUUCUCCCUUCGCUGGCUCGUCAUCUGCUUGCUAUCAAGGUCUUCCUUUGCGACGUCUGGCUGCCUGAUCGGCUAAUUUUCUCACUCCCGGUUCGCCAAGUUUCUGCUGUGGUUCAGUUCACGUGACGCCUUGCACCCUGUCUUUCUUCUUGCCAAGAUGACAGCAGUUAAACAAGAAGAAGCAGACACAACCGGUGAUAUCAGCGGUGGCCAAAUUACCCAUGGCAAAGCAGGUUCAAUCCAAAAGUUCAAAGGCAAGAAAAUCCAACUAAAGCCUGGAAAGUACAUUCUCCGUGGUGAGCCUUGCAUCCACUACUUAGAUGAGUUUAGUCGCCACAUUGUGGGGGCAACAUAGUUAAGCUCUACAACCAUAAUGUUUCUAGACUGCGAAAGAUCAUCCGCACCACCACCACGCCCGAUCGCUACUAUGUGUGCCACAUGCCAGAGACAUUUGCAACAAAUGACAAAAGAAUGUACUUUAGUGUUCCCUUUUCUACGGGUUCUCUUUUCCCACACAUGGAUGCUGACCACGGUGAACUGUCAAUCACAACUGGAGACGGGACUACCGCUGUCACAACCGCUUUAUCAAGGGUGUUGACAAAAGAGCCACCAUUGGCUGGAGCAACUUCUUCCGUCAGGCACACAUGAGCGAAGGGCAAGCAUAUGCUUUCGCCUUCAAAUGCACUUCCAAGGGACUGCGCCUAAUCGUCUACUCAAUAUAAGCAAGUUGCAAGAGCCCCUUGUUAUAUAACUUAAUGUUAGUAUAAAUGCCUACCAAGACUUUGUGUUUAUCA